UGCUGCAAGACUACUCGUUUAAGUUUUUUCAGUUACAGACUAACACAGCUACCCCUCUGAAAUUCUAGAAUGCUGCUUCAUCAAAUUCAGCUGACUACACCACAACGGAAAUGACAAUUACCUAACCACCAAGGUUCUGUUAUUCAGCAGCAGCAAGAGGAGACAGCAUUUGCAGCUGUCUGUGCUACUGCUCUAAGGAGCUCCCAUCAUCUCCUUCCUAUAUAUGUUAGAAACAUACAUCUGUCUAUCUGUUUGUUCAAGAACUCCUAAAUGCCCCAGCUCCUGGAAUCAAGUGGAUGCAUGAUGAUUUCAGCUUUCAUUUCUUACAGAAAAGUGUGGAGCAACCCAUUCACUCAUUUUGAAGUAUUCAAAGGACUGGGAAUCAAACUGGGAGACAACGGGUUUCUACCUUAUGAAAAAGGUAUUUAAGGCAGAAGAGUGGCAUCAUCAGGGUUCUCCCCACCCAAGAUGACUGCUGUAAAUAUUUAAGAAACAAAAUACAACUCGGGAGAAGGACUGAACCUGGGGGUCUAAUCUGUGAAUAGAAUAUCUGAAGUUUUAAGAUACAAGCAAGUGCAGUUGGCCUUGAAGAAUCUCUACAACCUGUCCAAAACAACAUGUAGGGUGAGAAUUUGCUACUUAUAACUAAUUUCUUAAGUAUUUUAAAUUCAGAUUACUUAGCAAAUAAGCAAAAGCAAAAUCUGCUUCAAUCUGCUAUCCUUUAUAAUCACUUAAAGUUUAUCUUCUGUAGUAAAUAAACUUAUGUUUAUGUUAUCUACAACCUGUGUGUGCAAUUCAUAACAGGAGGGCAAAAAGCUAUUGCAUAUCUUCCUCAGCAUGAAAGCAAGAAGUAAAUUUCAGUGCUUAUGCUGUACAGUUCACUGUAUAGUGCAAGAUGUUACAAUUUGGGGCUUAUUUUCUAGAGGGGCAUGUGAAUUUUAGCACUUGGCAGUUCCUUAGCUGAGCCUUCCAAUGCAGAAUUGAUCUCAGCAUCUGUGUGUAUAGUUGCAGCUGGGGAUAUCCCUACUUCUAAGUGUACUGAUAAAGUGCAGUCUGAAGCCUAGGGAAGACCUGGCACAUUACACAGCAGCACAGUGCUAAGGAAACACAGGCUGCUAGGUCUGACAGGCUCAGUGGUACCCCAGUUCCAAGUGGCACGCUGGCAGGAAGGGCAGGACCCUCACAACUCACAGUUGUUUGGGUUUUUUUUCUAAGUAUGUCUGAUAUAAAAAACAGAGUCCUGUGGCACCUCAAAGACUAACAAAUCUGUUUGGGCAUAAGCUUUCAUGGGCUGGGACCUACUUUGUCAGAUGCAUCUUUUAUCCACUUCAUACAGCUAAAUUCAAUGUCUUGCAUGGUGACAAAUUUCAGGAGUAUUCACAUUAUUCUGUUUCAGCAAAAACGAGGAGUCCUUUGGCUCCUUAAAGGGUAACAAAUUUAUGUAUUGCUUCAGG